UACGGAGGGUGCAAGCGUUAAUCGGAAUUACUGGGCGUAAAGCGCGCGUAGGUGGUUUGUUAAGUUGGAUGUGAAAGCCCCGGGCUCAACCUGGGAACUGCAUCCAAAACUGGCAAGCUAGAGUACAGUAGAGGUUGGUGGAAUUUCCUGUGUAGCGGUGAAAUGCGUAGAUAUAGGAAGGAACACCAGUGGCGAAGGCGACCACCUGGACUGAUACUGACACUGAGGUGCGAAAGCGUGGGGAGCAAACAGG
rnacentral:rRNA from 1 species